CUCAAAUAUCUUUCUUGGAUAAAUAAAGUUAUUUAAAUCAAUGUGACAUCAAAAUUAUUUCGAUACCUGUAAAAUAUCGGCGUUCGUGCUCAUUUGAAAAUCGCUCGUACAAGAAUCGAAUUUGCCCAAUAGUUGUCAAGACAAGAUAAUUCACAGCUCGCUUUCCAAGUUUAGAGGCAGUUAUGAUCUAGAAUAUGUUUCAAUACGUAAAAAUUGUGUUCCUAUCAUAAUAAAACAUGACCAGGUGCAAUACAGAAAAAACCAGGGAAGUGGCUUGGUCAAGUGACUUACUCUCAAAAUACUAAUAUAGAAUUACGCACUAAUAUUUCCUUUAGGAAGCAGAUACAAGAAGAACAUCAUCGCUUUGUUAGCCCUUUCUGUCACUUGCCUGUUGAUAUGAUGCUGUUAGUAUAAAUUGGUGGAGCUUAAACCAUUUAUCCCCUCUACAUUUGUGCAAGAACCUAAGAGUUUAAUGGAGGUUGACAGAUGGAAAGCUACAGAAUUCAGACAGUCUCUUUUGUUUACAGGCAAAAUUUCUUUAAGCCGUCAAUGAAAUCUAAUCAACAAAUUCUAGAAAUUUGCCGGUGUACAGCGAGCUGAUCUCCCUUGCAGAAAAAGAUUUAUAUGACGGUGAACUAGCACCAGAAAUCCUAAACACAAAGGAUCAUGCAAUAACUUCCCCAUCUACUAGUAGGACACCAUCUCAGCGUAGUGAUACAAGCAACGUCUCUUCACAAGGAAUUCUUACAACUAACACAACAGGAGAAAGACAUUCUCAACGAAACAGUGGUGUCUUAG